UACGUAGGGUCCGAGCGUUGUCCGGAAUUACUGGGCGUAAAGAGCUCGUAGGUGGUUUGUCGCGUUGUUCGUGAAAACUCACAGCUUAACUGUGGGCGUGCGGGCGAUACGGGCAGACUAGAGUUCGGUAGGGGAGACUGGAAUUCCUGGUGUAGCGGUGAAAUGCGCAGAUAUCAGGAGGAACACCGGUGGCGAAGGCGGGUCUCUGGGCCGAUACUGACGCUGAGGAGCGAAAGCGUGGGGAGCGAACAGG
rnacentral:rRNA from 1 species